rnacentral:rRNA from 1 species
GACGAACGCUGGCGGCGUGCCUAAUACAUGCAAGUAGAACGCUGAAGGAGGAGCUUGCUUCUCUGGAUGAGUUGCGAACGGGUGAGUAACGCGUAGGUAACCUGCCUGGUAGCGGGGGAUAACUAUUGGAAACGAUAGCUAAUACCGCAUAAGAGUAGAUGUUGCAUGACAUUUGCUUAAAAGGUGCAAUUGCAUCACUACCAGAUGGACCUGCGUUGUAUUAGCUAGUUGGUGGGGUAACGGCUUACCAAGGCGACGAUACAUAGCCGACCUGAGAGGGUGAUCGGCCACACUGGGACUGAGACACGGCCCAGACUCCUACGGGAGGCAGCAGUAGGGAAUCUUCAGCAAUGGACGGAAGUCUGACCGAGCAACGCCGCGUGAGUGAAGAAGGUUUUCGGAUCGUAAAGCUCUGUUGUAAGAGAAGAACGAGUGUGAGAGUGGAAAGUUCACACUGUGACGGUAUCUUACCAGAAAGGGACGGCUAACUACGUG